rnacentral:lncRNA from 1 species
UGCAGCUCCUGCUGGUAGGUGGGUAGUUUGUGGGAGUCUGUGGAAGUUUUCUUCUGGUAUUCUCAAAUGUCUUAGAGAUGAAGGAAGCAGAGUAAUCAGCUGAGACGAAGGGUAUGAACUUGCCCUCUAGGAGAACAGGAGAGUGAAUGGACCGGGGGUGGGGGUGGGGGGAAUAUAUGAAUGCCAGGCAGCAUUGUGGGUCCACUUAAUGGUUAAUGAUCACAAACUCAAAAUGAGGCCAGUCAGCACAGUUGAGUCUCUCCCCAGGCAUAUUCAACUGUUCUGGUACAAAGAGUUGGUUUUGCUGAUAACCAAGAAUGACAAAGCUAGAAAGGGGCAAGGGACUUCAAGGGUUCUGAAGUAAUUACAACAUGAUGGUUGACCAGAGAAUUUAAGCUGAAUAAGGAGAGAAGAUAGGACCUCAAGUAAAAAGAGGGAAGGACCAAAUGGAUUAGAAAUCCCCAGGGGGAGUUCCCAUCACGGCUUAGUGGAAAUGAAUCUGACUAGCAUCCAUGAGGACGCUGGUUCGAUCCCUGGCCUUGCUCAGUGGGUUAAGGAUCUGGCAUUGCCAUGAGCUGUGUUGUUGGUCACAGAUGCAGUUUGGAUCCCGAGUUGCUGUGGCUGUGGUGUAGGCCUGCAGCUGUUGCUCUGAUUUGACCCCUAGCCUGGGAACCUCCAUAUACUGUGGUUCGGCCCUAAAAAGACAAAAAAAAAAAAAAAAAAAAAAGAAAAAAGAAAAGAAAAGAAAUCCCCAUGGAUUUGAAGGAUUGGAGGAAUGGGGCACCUGCAGAUCGUGUGCUAGACAGAUAGGUGGUGGAGGUCAGGAUGGAAUGUGUCCAAAAGAUUAUGAAAAUGCAUCUAAAAUCUUAGGGUUGUAUCUGGCACAAGGCAGAUACUCAAUAAUAAAUAGCUAUUGAUUGGAAUUCAUAAUAAUUUAUCUAGAAACUUUGAGGCCAGGUAUUUUUAAAAUACAAAAUUUAGGAGUUCCUGUUGUGGCUUAGCAGGUUACAAGCCCAGCUAGUAUCCAUGAGGAUUCAGGUUCAAUCCCUGGCCUCCCUCAGUUGGUUAAGGCUCACGUUGCGGUGAGCUGUGGUGUAGGUCACAGAUAUGGCUAGGAUCCCAUGUUUCUGUGGCUGUGGCAUAGGUCUCAGCUGUAGCUCUGAUUUGACCCCUAGCCUGGAACUUCCAUAUGCUGUGGGUGUGGCCCUUAAAAAAAAAAAAAGACUGGGCCUAUGUUUUGUAUUAAUAAAUUUAUUUUGAUUGACUAUUAUGAUCCUGCUUAAACUGGUAACAGAAGAUUUUAAAACUUUUUCCCAAAUCAAUCACAAAUAUGUUAGUAUCUAUCAAAUUUGGUGCAACCUCACAGGUCAAAUAAGUUAGAACAAGGUUGGGCUGAGUUCAUACAAAGUUUUAAUGAAAGUACUUAUGAAAUGCUGCAUUAUGUAAUUAAAUUCAUUUAUUUUAUAAUGGUUGAGUGUUUCCUAGUAAUGUUAAGCCAUGACUUGCUUUGGUGAUUGGAUGAGGCUGGUUUUUAAUUUAAUGCAUAAUGUCAUUUGCAUAUUGUGUGCUUAUAAAAUGCUGAGAAAGUGUCCUUGCAAUAGAUUAAAUACAUCCUUGCUUUUGGUUGCUCUAUUCAUUAUCAUAAACAAAUCCUUUGUAGGUGCAACAAAGAUAAAUUUCAGUCCAGCUUUGUCCAAUUAUCACAUAUUCUCCAAGGAAGCGUUCCAAUAUGGAGCUUGCUUUCUGGAAAUGAGCACAGUUGUAAAGAAUGGAGCAAAACUCCAGAUACUGAUAAAUAGAAUGUUUUGCAUUUUCUAUUAUAUUUUCUGGAAAUAAUGGUAAGAUAUAACUAGUUUAAAGCAAAAAGGCCCCAGGCUCUUCCCCAAUCCAUCUUCAGCCCAGUUCGUGCCACUGAGUUUCUGCCCACAUAUCUAAUUGUAUUGAUCCUGGAUUUGAGAUUGACUCAACGAUGUGUUUGCACUUCUUUUACUCAAUGGUUUUUCUCCUUCACGUGCUCUUGGCACCCUUCCCUUUCUUUUUGCUUAGCUCAAUGCUAUGCAUGCUUUAAUACCUGGGUUAGGUGACAUCAUUUUUAGGAAAGUCUUUCCUAUUUCCAUCCACCAACAUUCCCAAGGCUAGCGUGGGUAUCUUUCAUAAGUGCUCUUGUGGUUAACACCAUGUAUUCCCCAUUGUAGAGUGUAUCUCUCUCUUCUCUUUUUUGUCUUUCGUCUUUUUUUAGAGCUGCACCCGCAGCGUAUGGAGGUUCCCAGGCUAGGAGUCCAAACGGAGCUGCAGCCGCUGCCUUACACCACAGCCACAGCAACGCAGGAUCCUUAACCCACUGAUCGAGGCCAGGGGUUGAACCUGUGUCCUCAUGGAUGCUAGUCAGAUUCGUUUCUGCUGAGCCACGACAGGAACUCCUAUAGUGUGUACCUCUUUAGCGUCCACGAAGUUGUCUUGAUCCCUCACUAGGCCAUCGAGUGAGGAUCGAGUGUGUCUCACACCAUUGCUUCUUCAGGGCCUCCCUGUCUUAAGCUAACUAAAGGUUAAGUUUAUGGUUCCAGAAGGAGGCCUUCAUACUACAACCCCCGGAACACAAAGCAAGAUUUAAUCCCACUCAGCUCUUCUAGAGGCCAAAGAAAGGAGGUGGUUCCCUGGCUGGAGAGAGAAGUAUUACAGUUCCUCAGCACUCCAUGUCAAAGGAAGAUGGAGUUGUCCUUGCAUCUAAUUGGUCUGGGGAACUAGGCCCUUUUUCUAGCUGGGAGAGAGAGCAUUCUUCUUAGGAGGCCUCAACAAGUCAAAGAGGAAAAGGGAUAUAAGAAAAAGAUUCCUGAAUAAUACAACAGAUAUUUUCCAAGCACCUAUCCAAACAGUAUAUGGCCAUGUCUGUCUAGAGUUAUCCUCUUUGGAGCCUAGUUGCUCUAAAGAAAUACUAAAGAGACUCAGGUCAAAUAAGAUGACUAUCUGGCCUUAUUUACAGGGUCAGCUGUGUGCACCUCUGAUCUUAUUAAGAAAGGGGUUCAGGAGUCAUCUGGUGGCCUAGUGGUUAAGGAUCUGGCAUUAUCACUGUUGUAGUUUGGGCCACUGCUAUGGCACGGGUUCAGUGCCUGGCCCAGGAGAUUCCAUAUGCCAUGGUUG